UCUCACGAAUACCCACUUAAACCCAACAAGAUUUAUAUUCUCAGGCGUUAUGACUAUAGGUCCAAAGACAUUUCUAUUAUUUAGGGAGAGUAAUUCAAUUUGAAUGGCCUUCUUCCACUCCUCCCAAUCAUGUCUUUUUUUACAUUCUAAAAUGGACCUUGGAUCGGGAUCAUCAUUUUCAUGAUCGGUCUCUUUGGACACAGAAAACGAGAACAUUCCAUCAACAUCUUUUAUCUUAUUUCUGAUCCAUAUUUUUUCGUCUCGGGCGUAGUUGAUGGAAAUCACAUAGUUUUCUGUUCCCUUCUCGUCAUCUGGACCAUCUUUAUCUAUGCCUUCUUUCAGACAUUUUUCAGUAUCAGGUUCUUCUGGAACCUUUCCACUUAUGUCUUCUUUCAGACAUCUUUCAAUAUCAGGUUCUUCUCGAACCUUACUAUUUUGCUCAUCCAAUUUCUUUUUCUUUCGGGGAUUUUUAUCUUUAUAACCUGCUGGCCUUCCCCUCUUUAAUUGAACCCUAGGUUCAUUCAUUUUAUUUCCAUCAGUUUGUUCUUUAGGAACAUCAACUCUUGAUGGAACAUUUUCAGCGGGUAUACAUGACUUCGUCACCCUUCUCGUAUCUGAGAACGCAUCUGGUAAUUGGUUUGCCAAAUUAUGUAAAUGCACAAUUUUCUGAACUUCCAGUUCUCUUUGAUUCGUAGGGGGAUCAAGGUGUAACAACGACAGUGUACACCAAGUAAUCUCUUUAGGAAUUCUAUUAAUUCCUCCCUCUAACGCUGGAAAUUCAUCCUCAUUAUUUGUGUAUAUAUAUAGAAAAUAGGAACAAAACAUGAGAGGGAAUUGUGAUAGAGACUUGGAGAGAGAUAAUUAUUUAUUUUGUCUUCUCAUGCAUACAAAUGCAAAGAGAGAGGACCACUAUUUAUAGUGGAAAAGGUCGGCAACAUUGGAAAGAAAAAGACAAAACUUUCAGAUGAUAAUGAUACAAGAGAAUUAAAUAAAUGACAAGUGUAAAUGACCAGGAUAGUCAUUCUUGAGACAUCUAUCCUACGGAUGAUUAAUCAUCUUUUCCAACAAUUCCUAUAUUUUCUACACAUUUCUCUUUGUGGUGUGCAAUUAUAUGGAUUUCAUGCCAAAAGAGCAUGCAUGAUGUAUUCCUAUAAAACCUAAAACGAACCAAUUUUAAUCGGGACUCUCUCUUUCUCGAUUCUUUCUCUCAGCCGCCACAAAAGAAGUUCUCAGAUCUACUUCUGGUCCGGCGUUUGUCCGGUGCCAGAGGGUUCUCUCUUCCCCUUAAUCUUUUUUUUCCUUUUGCCUGUUCCAUUCCGACCCAAAUCCUAAGACGAGAUGCGUGUUGUUCUGGUUUGUCGGGGUGUCUCUGGAAACUUGUGUGGUCAAAAGGGAAACUCACGGCGUUCUUGGGCAGUGAGUCGCAGGAAGGUUGAAGCGGGACAGGUCAGCUUUUAGGGUUGAGAGGAGCUAACGAGUCGAUUUUCUGUUUUAGAUCUUUUGUGCUCCUCUUACAGCGACGGCGCGUGGCUCAGUGGGAGACCUCCUCCACCUUGGAUCUACAGUCCGGUGUGACGGUGAGCCAAACAGAGGUGUGAUACGACGGCUGGUGAAGAUGGUUCUGGUCCUCGGUUCUCGUGGAAGACGCGUCAGAGGGUUUGUUUCACCGGAGGAGUCUACUGGAGGACGAACUCUGCAGUGGGUACGCGGUGGAGGUUCACAUCCCAACACCGGAUGGUGACGCCUCCCGUCUCGCCGGCGGUGAAACUUCACGCCAUGGAUUCACCUUAGGUACUGGUCCGAUCAUCGUAUGCUUGUCAAAGCCCGAAUUUCAGUACGGGUUCUUUCCCAGUUCAUGGCUAAGGAACGGAUUUUGAACCUCGACGGCGACAGGUUCUCACCAGAUUUGCGCCUUGCGGUGAUGAGAUGUUGGGCCGGGUCUGUCACUCUAAUCUUUAGGAGUCCACUGUCAUGGGUCUAUUUGUAAUCUGGUUGUUAGCUUUGUUGUUAUCGAGUGUUUAGAAUUGUCAUCUCGUUUGGUCUAAGUAGGGGUCAAGAGACGGUUUCUCUCGAGUGGUGGGAGGAAUUCGUUUCAUUGUGGUGAAAAAUACACUGAUGAAUUGAUUGGGUAGUGUAGGAUCCGACUCAGUGUUCCUACGCGUUACUAGAUCGCAUCGAUUGUAUGUUGGGUUUAAAAUCUCUUGAGGUUGUAAUCAUGUAUUCACAGUUAGUUAAUGAGAAGUUGUUGUUAAGCCAAAAAAAAAAAGAACAUGCAUGAUGUUAAUGAAAAAAAAGAAUUAUUUCAUUUGCUUGUCGUAACUACUAACUAGACAUGGAAUGAAAUCAGAAUUCUCCACCAAUUUGGGAAAAAAACCUUCUCUCUCUUAUCGCUCUCACUUCGACAAAACCAGCAGAACUAAGUUCCGGCCGUCACAUCUGGCGCCGGAGACACCUCCUUCCUCCUAAUCUUUUUUUUUCCUUUGCUAUUACCCUCUCUUCUCUAUCCUAAGUCGAAAUGCUCACCUUUCUUUGACUGUCUAAGAUCUUCUUCCAGAGAGUCCUUUGUGACAGACGGAGGCAGAUACCGGAGUUCUAUGGACAGGCGGCAAGACCCAAGGAAGAUCGAGAGCGGUGAGAGUCGACUUUUAGACCGAAGAUUCAUGUCAGAUUUGGUUUUCCACUUUUGAGAUCUAUGACGAAAUCUUCACGGAGAUGGCGCGUGACUCGGCGUAAACACUCGGAUCUACCUCCCCUCGUGGCGGUGAGAUUGUUGGAGGAGCGGUGUGAACGGACAACAAAAAGGGGUUCGUCCUCUGGAUUCCGGAGGCGACGUGUGGCAAGGUCUUUCAACGAUGGAGUUAUCAACCAGAGGAGGAAACUUUGCUAGCGAAACGCGGUGGAGUUGCUACAUCCCAGUGCCGAUGAUGGCCAGGUGGUGUAGAAAUUACACACUUGUUGAAGUCGGACUUAGUGUUCCUGUUUCACGAUGUCGUAAUCCAGGUCGCUUUUCAUUCCGGACUCGUGUUCGGUUUUAGGCUGAGGAUACAGAUAGUGAUGGCCGGAAGGAAGAGGAGCUCAGGUCGGAAUGCGCCUUCUGGUGUUGAUACUGUGGUUCACGAACUGAACUCGAAUCAUAAGGAGACCAUCAGUCUUGUUUUAGAUUAGUGCCGACUGAGAAUUUCUUUUCCUUUUGUGUUUAAUUAUUAUCGUCGUAUCACGAGGUCGAAUUAGGGGUUUAAGAGGCAGUUUAUCCCGGGUAGUGGGAUGAACUUGUCCUCGUCGUGGAGGAGAAAAUACAAUGCCGGAUUAGAUUGGGUAACGUUGGAUCCAUCUAUGUAUUCUAGGGUGAUACUAAAUCCCGGUAUUGUGUGUGGAGUUAAAAUCUUUAGAGGUUGUAAUCUUGUAUUGAAAGUUGAAAAAAAAAAAAAAAAAAAAAAAGAAGAAGGCAUGGAAUGAAAUAAUUUGUGGACAAGAAUAAUACUACUACUAGUUCUGUCGUAUGUCAAAGUGGUUGAACGUAUAUCGUGGUGGUUCAACCGUAAGUUUUACGUAUGUAUUGAGAAUGUAGAUCUGAAAUUCAGUUAAUCUACCAAAUAAGAUACUAAAUAAUAAUAAUCUAUAUAUAAUAGCAAACCUACUUUUUGUUUUUGCUGAUGUCAUCAUUUUUUAUAGAAAAAUAAAAGUAAAAUCGUACGGUUAAAAUUGUUGUGGUUAUACAAUCUAAUGGACACAAUUUUAGUUUCAUUUAGACGUCUGACAUCAUCAAUAAUAAUGCAAAUGGCAUCUCUUUGAUUCUUUUUCAUGAAUCGUUACUUCCGAAAGACACAACCUUUCGAAAUAGAAUCUUUUAGUUUAUAUAUCGUUUCUUUAUCCUAAUAUCUUCAUUGUUCUUAUUUACAUUCAGUUUUAUCAUACUAUCUUCAAUUUUUUCUGUUGCUUUGUGGAUUUUUUUCAUUAUAGAAUAAUCUCUUAUCUGAUUCCAUCACCACUAAACUUAAUCGAGUACUUGUUUCUCAACCGCUGAUCUCAAAUGUCAACUUUCCAAUGCUCUUGAUUUAUCUUCGUCUCUUCUUUUCUGAUUAUUUCCACUCUCUUUUUCUGUCUCCCCAACCCACUGAUUAAUUAAUCUACUGCUUGUGUGGAGUUAUCAUCCACAGAUGCCGUUAGAUAGAGAUGCCAUUAACUGAUUGCACAUAUUGUGGAUAUGCUUUGUGAAAUGAGAGUAAAUAGUUUGUAGAUUUUCUGUCCGUUUCUUAUUACUCUAACAAUUGCACAUAAUACAGUGGUUCAAAUGUCCAUUUCGUUUGCAGUUUUAGCAACAAAAGGAGGAGAUACAUUGAGGGAUGCGUUUCCAUCUCACCGAACAGUUACGGUAUAUCGACUCGCCUUUGGGAAUAGAUUGAAUCGGGGGACGCAAUGGUUCUCCUCUGAAGUUUGAAGGAACAUGUUCAGAAAAUAUGUCCGGUGGAUUCGAAAUCUAAAGAUAGUCGUUGGUAAAACACAAGAUGUGUGCAUGAAUGUUCGUGAUUCUGUAACAAAAUUUCAUCAAGAAUAUUUGACCAUGCAGGAGGUUUUUUUUUACAAGAAUCUGAUAGUCUGCAAUCACAUUUUUGGAAACUCCAGUCGCUUUCUUUUCCGUCCGUAGCAUCCUUACUGCAGACGACAUUGCAGUCUUACCUCAUUUGAUUAAUAAUUGAUAAACUAGGUAAUAACCCGUGCAUUCGCGGAAUGUGAUUAUUAAUUUCGUUAUUUUUAAUAAAAACACAUUAAAUCUAUUUAAUCUGGA